rnacentral:miRNA from 1 species
AUUAAUGGACUUUGUAAUGAGUCGAGGGUGGAUGAGGCAUUGGAAUUGCUUAAUGAUAUGAUUGAGAAGAAAAUUGAACCUACGGUGUAUACGUAUACUGUCCCGAUUA